AGUGAACGCUGGCGGUAGGCCUAACACAUGCAAGUCGAACGGCAGCACAGUAAGAGCUUGCUCUUACGGGUGGCGAGUGGCGGACGGGUGAGGUAUACAUCGGAAUCUACUUUUUCGUGGGGGAUAACGUAGGGAAACUUACGCUAAUACCGCAUACGACCUACGGGUGAAAGCAGUGGAUCUUCGGACCUUGCGCGAUUGAAUGAGCCGAUGUCGGAUUAGCUAGUUGGCGGGGUAAAGGCCCACCAAGGCGACGAUCCGUAGCUGGUCUGAGAGGAUGAUCGGCCACACUGGAGCUGAGACACGGUCCAGACUCCUACGGGAGGCAGCAGUGGGGAAUAUUGGACAAUGGGCGCAAGCCUGAUCCAGCCAUACCGCGUGGGUGAAGAAGGCCUUCGGGUUGUAAAGCCCUUUUGUUGGGAAAGAAAAGCAGCAGGUUAAUACCCCGCUGUUCUGACGGUACCCAAAGAAUAAGCACCGGCUAACUUCGUG
rnacentral:rRNA from 1 species